rnacentral:rRNA from 1 species
GACGAACGCUGGCGGCGUGCUUAACACAUGCAAGUCGAACGAAGUGGCGAACGGGUGAGUAACGCGUAAUCAACCUGCCCUUCAGAGGGGGAUAACAGUUGAAAAAGACUGCUAAUACAGCAUACUGAAGGAGGGGAGUGCGUCGGAUUAGGUAGUUGGAGGGGUAACGGCCCACCAGGGCGAUGAUCAGUAGCCGGUCUGAGAGGAUGAACGGCCACAUUGGGACUGAGACACGGCCCAGACUCCUACGGGAGGCAGCAGUGGGGAAUCUUCCGCAAUGGACGAAAGUCUGACGGAGCAACGCCGCGUGAGUGAUGACGGCCUUCGGGUUGUAAAGCUCUGUUAAUCGGGACGCGGUACCGGAAUAGAAAGCCACGGCUAACUACGUGCCAGCAGCCGCGGUAAUUC